CCACUGUCCCGACCAGUUGAUGCAUAUUAGUGCUCUUAGAGGCUUACAGACUAUCAGUCAGUGUACAUGUAUUGUGUUUGGCCUUGCCGGCCUUCUGACUAGUUGUCUUUCUUGGUUGUGGCCUUGUUGGCCCUUGUAAUGCAUAUAUGUGUUAUUAGGCCUUUUCUGCUUGCAGGUUGUUAUGAUAUACUUCUUACUAUUGUUAUUCAGCGGCCUCGUCAGCCUAUGAUUCGCGUUACAGAGUUCAAAUAUCACAGUUGGUUCGCUCGGCCCUUCGGGUGCCGGGUGCCAGCCACACCCCUAGGUUGGGGUGUGACAAUUAUGAAAACGGAAAAGGGCCAAAUAUACCCCGGUACUAUUGAAAAGGGGUUAAAUAUAUCCCUCAUUAUAUUUUGGGGCCAAAUAUACCCCUUCCGUUAUACUUUGGAACAAAUAUACCCUUAUACUUAACGAACUGCCACGUGGCAAGGCUAGAACAAAAAAACCCAUCCCUAAUUAAUUUAACCCGACCCAUACAACAUACCCAGCUUUCGGAUUCUCGCCAGCGGCGGGAAUCCGGCUGACAUCUCCGGCCACUUUCUGUUCAUCAACUCCAAACGGACUCUCAGCUUUUAGUGGUCAUCAAAAGAUAGGGUUUUGCACUUUGCCGGUGCGGCCUGCUUCCCGGCGGUUAAACCCAUUUGUUUCCACCAAAUCUGCCCUUCUUUUUUCGUGAAAGAAUUGGCAAAAAAAGAUAGGGUGACAAAUAUACAGAGAGGCGAAGUUUGAAGGCAGCAUAUUCAAAGUUGAAUCAAUCGCCCAAUUGGUCAGUCCGUUUGGGAGUUGAUGAACGGAAAGUCGCCGGAGAUGACAGCCGGAUUCCCGUCGCUGGCGAGAAUAAUCCGGAAGCUGGGUAUGUUAUGGGUCGGGUUAAAUUAAUUAGAGAUGGGUGUUUUGUUCUAGGCUUUUCACGUGGCAGUAUUUGUUCCAAAGUAUAACAGAAGGGGUAUAUUUGACCCCAAAAUAUAACGAGGGGUAUAUUUAACCUUUUUUCAAUAGUAUAGGGGUAUAUUUGGCCCUUUUCCGUUAUGAAAA